ACAUAAUCAACAAUGCUUAAGGGGGUUUAGAAUAGGAUCCACAUAAUUUCAGGUCAUUCACAGAAUCAUACAAGUUUAGGGGUGCAAACUACUUCACAAGGAGACUCGUACAAGAAAUCAAAUAGUGCAAGAUCACAUGGAGAUAGACUACAUAGAGGGUAGGGUAACAUGUUUAUACUGAUCCUAAGGAAGUGGAGUUCAUGACAUGACAAUCAUGCAAUUAUAUUAACUGCCAGUUUCGAAACAAAAGCAUAAGUAAAAGCAAACUAGAAACAGGAGAAACUGAAACAAUAAAAGAAUCAUAUUGUAUUUGGAACUUUGAUUUGAAAUUAGAACAUACCAGUAAAUAAGACAGUAAAAAGUGAAGGAGUAGAAGAGCACAUUAGUUAGCCUUGGCUUGCAGCCGACUAACUUAGAAUAAUAGCAAGUAGCAUAAAAGAGAGAUCAGAAAGUUUAAGUUUGUGUGAGAGAGAUUUUUUAACCAAAGUGUUCGUGUUAAUGAGAGAGAGAGUGUGUAUAUAUAAUAGUUUGAAAAUUAGGUAAAAUAAGGCAAGAAUCAUUGUAUCGUAAUAAUUAUGGAACUCAAAACCAAUUAGAGCAAAAUCAGGACAAGUACUCCCUUAAGUUAAGAGAAUCAUUUCAAACGGUAAGAACAAGUUGCAUAUAAGGAAAGAAAUCAGUGUAUGACUAAUAGGGAAAGAAUCAAAUUCAGUAAGUAUAGGGUAAACAAUUAGGGCUAAGUUCAGAAAACCUUACUUAAGAAAUAGUCAGUAAUAAUACAUUACUACAACUGACAAGGUAGGUGAAUCAAUUAAUUUGAUUAAAAGGGGUGUAAAUUGAGGGUUUAAAGGAAGGUAUUUUAAUAAAACCAUAAAAUAGGGAAUAUAUAAUCAAUUAAAGAGGAAGUCAUGAUUCAGUAUUCAGCUUAAAAAUAGAGUAAGAUAAGAAUAACCAGACAUAGAAAACAUGCAGGUUAAACGGUAUCGAAAGAAAGAGGCAAGUCUGAAUAAUCAAGAUGAACAUAAGCAUAUAGAGGUGAUAUAAGUUAGGCUAAAAACUCAGUAAGAGCAUAUUCGAAGCAAGAUAAUCACAGAAACUGAAACAAGAAACGAGCAACCAUGCUAAUACACAGAACCAAACGAAGAAGUCUAGAAAAUUCGGCCUUUCAACAUAGAUAAGUUGAAAGGUAGUAAAAUCAUAGAUUCAGUAAAAUUAUGCAAGAGACAGAAGUUUAAACAUUAAAAAUUAGUUUAAAUAAAGUUUCAGCAGAAGUUCCAAUAAGCCUAAUUUUAGAAGAAGAUGAAACUUUUGAAAUCACAUGGUUAUUGUAAAGAGUUAAAAGGAUAGUGUGAAACAUCAAAGCGGCAAACUCAAAUUGUUUUAAAAUCAUACAGAUCUAGGAGAUGUAGGCAGAAAUUAUGGUUUCAGAAGAAACCCAAAGAGAGAUGAAAGAACAUGUGUAGAAUCCCAAGGAUCGUAACAAAUAUAGCAUAAUUUUGCUUGAAAUCAUACUGAAGUAGCCAAGAACAUCCCAGUGACGAACCCCAGGUGCAAGUUGGUGUAGCCCUAGGCCCUUGAAGACCUUAGAAAAGGCAAGCAUGGCAAUAGAGCAGCCAUUGGAGGCUUAGGAGUUGAAGGGUGAUCACAGGAGAAGACCAGAGAAGAAGGUCAGUGGUUGAAGAAGAUAAAGUUUGGUUAAGCGGUUGAGAGAGGAGAGGAGAUGAGAGAAUACUGAGGCGUCG
rnacentral:lncRNA from 1 species